rnacentral:ncRNA from 1 species
UGUACAAAGGUGUCUGUUUUAACAGAAGAAUAGGGAAGCUGAGUGAAAAUCUCACACGGUCACGCCGCUGUAAUGGAUGAGCUGUAUCUGUAUAUGUCACUGGGAUUAUCUCCUGGGAAGGCCGGGUACAGUGCCAAAGCCUGAGUCAGAAGACCUGCCUUGUACA